UCCGGCUUGCCUUCUCCUCCACCUUCUCUUUCUUCUCCUUUAGGUCCUGCAAGAGAGAGGUCACCUUCCUCUCACCACAAACGAUCUGCAGCCCUUAAGUCCCUCCAGGCCCGGUUCUCCCUCUGCAGUGACUUUAGAGGAGUGGGAGAUGGAGAAAGUGGGCAGUGCGGCUUAGAGACUGAACAGAGGUCCCAGGGUCCUCACAGCCACAGAGGGGCUGAGACCAGACACCUUCCCCAAGACUCGAGGGAGGAGAAAAGUGACCAAGCCCGGGAAGAGGCAGCCAAGGCACUGUGGUGUCUCUGUGUGAUCGGAUCGGAUCUGGUGUUGGUGUGCAACUCUGUGUAUCCGAUUCCACGGGGAUGGAAGUUUUCUGGUUCCCUGACAAGGGAUCAAACCCGUGCCCCCUGCAGUGGAAGCGCAAAGUCUUAACCACUGGACUGCCAGGGAAGUCCCUGAUAUCAGAUUCUUAAGUCUUGGAAGGAAGAAGAGAAAGAGCUCUAGACACCUAAAGGCAGAGGAUACCAGGUAAUGGGAAAAGACCAAAGGAGGAAACUAGAAGCUAAGCUGCAUCUCCUAUGCAUCUCUGCGGAAGGCUGGACAUGAAAUGAGGAGGGAGAGGCUGGAAGGUAAGGCCCACUCUUCCUUGAGUCUGGGCUGCAGAACUCUCCUGGGACAACUCUUGAUCACAUGUCAAAAUGCUUUUGUUUGGGAGCAAGAGGAAAAGGGGCACUUGCAUGGCAGCAUGUUUAGAGAUAGAGCAUCUGGAAGAUAAAAGAUUUUACUAAGUCUCUUCCCCAGAAAUAUAAAUGGAAAAUACAUUUUCUUUUUUUUCUGUCUUUGGCUUUAGCUUUGCCGGUCUGCCAGCUUCUAAUAAUUUCUCUCUGUUCCCCUCUGUCUCCACUAUCGUGUUUUUCCUCUUUAAUAAUGAUCAAGUCCAAAGAAACCUGAGAAGCCCCACUCCCACCACCUUUUCCUGAGUCACCAGGGACCCCCUUCACCUUCUUCCCCAGGGAAGUGCUGGGGAUGGGAACAAGUCUCUCACUGUCAGGCCCGCUAACGUGGCUAGCGGCCAGUGUAAAGAACCAGGAGAGCUGGAGUCUGGAGGGGUCCAGUCUAAAGUCCACCCGGGACAGUCCAAGUCCCCUGACACCCAGGGGGAGGGCCCUUCUCUCCAGUUGGGCCAGAUUUUAUGCAAGACAUUUAGUAUGUCAAAGUGUCAGUCUUUGGCCUUCGAGUCAGGUCUCCUGGGCCUGUCUGCAACUCUGCGCCUGGGUGAGCUUGGUUAAUGGAGCGCUCCACCCCUUUCUUCUCCCAAACGUUAGACCCUUGACCUACCUACCUACUUGACUCGAGGCAAGAAAAGAUCAGUGCGGACUGGGA